rnacentral:rRNA from 1 species
UACGUAGGGUGCGAGCGUUAAUCGGAAUUACUGGGCGUAAAGGGUGCGCAGGCGGUCUCGUAAGCUGGGUGUGAAAGCCCCGGGCUUAACCUGGGAAUGGCAUUCAGGACUGCGAGGCUUUGAGUGCGGCAGAGGGAGGUGGAAUUCCACGUGUAGCAGUGAAAUGCGUAGAGAUGUGGAGGAAUACCGAUGGCGAAGGCAGCCCCCUGGGAUAACACUGACGCUCAUGCACGAAAGCGUGGGGAGC